rnacentral:rRNA from 1 species
AGUGUUUGAUCAUGGCUCAGGACGAACGCUGGCGGCGUGCCUAACACAUGCAAGUCGAACGGUCUAAUGCUUAACACUGAGUAUUCAGUAAAGUUGGAACAGCGAGAGCGCGAAGUAUGAGCGCUCCACGCAUUAAAUAAAGUGCCAACACACUACGAAGCUGAAUGUUGAGUGUUAAGUAUUAGAUAGUGGCGGACGGGUGAGUAACGCGUGGGUAACCUACCCAUAAACCCGGGACAACCCUUGGAAACGAGGGCUAAUACCGGAUAAUCUUAGAGAGUGGCAUCACUCUUAAAGAAAAGGUGGCCUCUGUAUAUGCUACCGAUUAUGGAUGGACCCGCGUCUGAUUAGCUAGUUGGUGGGGUAAAGGCCUACCAAGGCGACGAUCAGUAGCCGGCCUGAGAGGGUGAACGGCCACACUGGGACUGAGACACGGCCCAGACUCCUACGGGAGGCAGCAGUGGGGAAUCUUCCGCAAUGGACGAAAGUCUGACGGAGCAACGCCGCGUGUAUGAUGAAGGUCCUCGGAUUGUAAAGUACUGUCUUUGGGGAAGAAUGAUUGGUUUGAAAAUAUUGAGCCAAUAUGACGGUACCCAAGGAGGAAGCCCCGGCUAACUACGUGCCAGCAGCCGCGGUAA